CGGACGGGUGAGUAAUGCAUAGGAAUCUGCUUGGUAGUGGGGGACAACGUUUKGAAAGGAACGCUAAUACCGCAUACGUCCUACGGGAGAAAGCAGGGGACCUUCGGGCCUUGCGCUAUCAGAUGAGCCUAGGUCGGAUUAGCUAGUUGGUGGGGUAAUGGCUCACCAAGGCGACGAUCCGUAACUGGUCUGAGAGGAUGAUCAGUCACACUGGAACUGAGACACGGUCCAGACUCCUACGGGAGGCAGCAGUGGGGAAUAUUGGACAAUGGGCGAAAGCCUGAUCCAGCCAUGCCGCGUGUGUGAAGAAGGUCUUCGGAUUGUAAAGCACUUUAAGUUGGGAGGAAGGGCAGUAAGUUAAUACCUUGCUGUUUUGACGUUACCGACAGAAUAAGCACCGGCUAACUUUGUGCCAGCAGCCGCGGUAAUACAGAGGGUGCAAGCGUUAAUCGGAAUUACUGGGCGUAAAGCGCGCGUAGGUGGUUUGUUAAGUYGGAUGUGAAAGCCCCGGGCUCAACCUGGGAACUGCAUCCAAAACUGGCAAGCUAGAGUACGGUAGAGGGUGGUGGAAUUUCCUGUGUAGCGGUGAAAUGCGUAGAUAUCGGAAGGAACACCAGUGGCGAAGGCGACCAUCCUGGA
rnacentral:rRNA from 1 species